GACGAACGCUGGCGGCGUGCCUAAUACAUGCAAGUCGAACGCAGUGGGGACGGGUGAGUAAAACGUGGGUAACCUCCCAUCAGAGGGGAUAACACUUGGAAACUGGUGCUAAACCGAUACUGAUGGAUGGACCCGAGGUGCAUUAGCUAGUUGGUGAGGUAACUGCUCACCAAGGCCACGAUGCAUCGCCGACCUGAGAGGAGGAUCGGCCACACGUGGACUGAGACACGGCCCAGACUCCUACGGGAGUCAGCAGUGGGGAAUCUUCGGCAAUGGGCGAAAGUCUGCCCGAGCAACGCCGCGUGAGUGAAGAAGGUUUUCGGAUCGUAAAACUCUUUUGUUCGGGAAGCGGUAUCUAACCAGAAAGCCACGGCUAACUACGUGCCAGCCGCCGCGGUAAUUC
rnacentral:rRNA from 1 species